AUGGAAGAAACAUUGGAGAUAACUGAAGAUCAUGGUCAAGCUUUGCAAAAGAAAUCACAGGACAUAGUAAAUGCCAUGCGUCUAGUGUUCACAACAAAGGUUCGUCUUGAUGAAAUGAGAUCAGAUGAUGGUUGGGAGGCCUUCUUUGAUAGGGUUGUUGAGUUCUGUGUAAAUCAUUCCAUUGAUAUUCCAGAUUUGGGAGAAACUUACAUUCUGCGUGGUGGUCGUGCUCGUUGCCAACCAGAUCAUUUUACUAAGGAGCACUAUUUCCGGGUGGAAGUAUUUCGUGCAACACUUGAUACUCAUCUACAUGAAUUAGAAUUCAGGUUCAAUGAUAAGGUACUGGAUCUAUUGACCACUAGUGCUACCCUGAUCCCUAAAAAUAAAUUCAGAUCUUUCAAAGCUGAUGAUAUUUGUGAGUUAGUCAAGAAAUAUUAUCCAGCAGAUUUCACCCAACAAGAAAUCUAUGGACUGGAGCAGCAACUAAAACACUUUGUUGUGGAUGCCUCCAACUCCAAUGAUAAAGAGUUGAAAAAUGUGUCAACCUUAACAAAUCUUUGUCGAUAUCUCUUUGAGACGGGGAGACAUUCUAUCUACAAUUUGCUUGAUCGAUUGUUGCGAUUGCUUCUAACUCUUCCAGUUUCUACAGCAAGUGCCGAGCGAGCAUUUUCAACUUUGAAGAUCAUUAAGACAAGGCUACGUAAUACCAUGGAAGAUGAUUAUCUAGCCAAUAGCUUGCUAAUAAAAAUAGAGAGUGAAAUCACGGAGAAGUACAGUUAUGAAGAUGUUCUUGUGCACUUUAAGGGUGCAAAGAAACGGAAAGCUAAUCUGUAGUGCAGUGUUGCUGUAGUGAACCGAAUGCUCCAUGGUUAA
rnacentral:rRNA from 1 species